AUCACGUCGCCAGUUUUAGGGCACUUGCAAAAUUAACAUAUAGUCUCCAGAGCAUUAGUGAGAAUAUUUUGUGGAGUGUACCUAUUUAAAUUUCCAAAACAGGUUUUCUUAAGGGUUUUUUGUUGUUGAUGUUGUUUGUUUUUGUUGUUUGGGGCUUUUUUGUUUUAAAAAUGUUUUUAAAGAAGACAGGGAUCACAAAUGUACAGGAGGAAAAUUUAAGAAUUAGUGGAUUUAUUAUCUUCAUUGUAGCAAUGAUUUCCUGCGCAAGUAUACAUAUGUCAAUACAUCACAUUUUACCCUAUGCAACUUAUUGUAUGUCAGAUAUUUCUUAAAAAUUAAGUAAUCAAAGCAUAUUUAAUAUCACAAUUCUUUUUCCUGGUACAUGAAACGACAUAGUAUAGAAAGAUAUACUAAAAAUGCAUGACUCCUCCCCUUAAACCAAGAACUGGAACAUUACCAAAAUUUGCUUCUGCUUAUGAGUUUCUAUCUACCCUGUAACCCUGCUUCUUCUUACUGAAGUAAAC
rnacentral:lncRNA from 1 species